rnacentral:rRNA from 1 species
UAUUGGUGCCUUCGGAACAUUGAGACAGGUGCUGCAUGGCUGUCGUCAGCUCGUGUCGUGAGAUGUUGGGUUAAGUCCCGUAACGAGCGCAACCCUUGUCCUUAGUUACCAGCACGUAAUGGUGGGCACUCUAAGGAGACUGCCGGUGACAAACCGGAGGAAGGUGGGGAUGACGUCAAGUCAUCAUGCCUUACGGCCUGGGCUACACACGUGCUACAAUGGUCGGUACAAAGGGUUGCCAAGCCGCGAGGUGGAGCUAAUCCCAUAAAACCGAUCGUAGUCCGGAUCGCAGUCUGCAACUCGACUGCGUGAAGUCGGAAUCGCUAGUAAUCGCGAAUCAGAAUGUCGC